CCUACGGGUGGCAGCAGUGAGGAAUAUUGGUCAAUGGGCGUAAGCCUGAACCAGCCAAGUCGCGUGAGGGAUGAAGGUUCUAUGGAUCGUAAACCUCUUUUAUAAGGGAAUAAAGUGCGGGACGUGUCCAGUUUUGUAUGUACCUUAUGAAUAAGGAUCGGCUAACUCAGUGCCAGCAGCCGCGGUAAUACGGAGGAUCCGAGCGUUAUCCGGAUUUAUUGGGUUUAAAGGGUGCGUAGGCGGCCUUUUAAGUAAGCGGUGAAAGUCUGUGGCUCAACCAGAGAAUUGCCGUUGAAACUGGGAGGCUUGAGUAUGUUUGAGGCAGGCGGAAUGCGUGGUGUAGCAGUGAAAUGCUUAGAUAUCACGCAGAA
rnacentral:rRNA from 1 species